GUCCUUUUGAUUAUAAUUUAAGGUCUAGCCUGCCCACUGAUUUAUUAAAUGGCCGCGGUAUUUUGACCGUGCAAAGGUAGCAUAAUCAUUAGUUUUUUAAUUGAAAGCUAGAAUGAAUGGUUGAAUAAGAAAAAUUCUGUCUCAGUUUAGAUUUAUUAGAAUUUUAUUUUUAAGUGAAAAAGCUUAAAUGUAAUUUAAAGACGAGAAGACCCUAUAGAGUUUUAUAAAAGAUUUUUAUAAAAAUUUAAGUUUAAAUUUUUUUUGUAUUUAUUUUUUAUUUGAUUGGGGUGAUUUAAAAAUUUAAUAAACUUUUUUAUUUUUUUACAUUAAUAUAUGAUUAGUUGAUCCAUUUUUAUGAUUAAAAGAUAAAAUUACCUUAGGGAUAACAGCGUAAUUUUUUUUGAGAGUUCUUAUCGAAAAAAGAGAUUGCGACCUCGAUGUUGGAUUAAAAUAAAUAUUUGGUGUAGAAGCUAAAUUAUUAAGUCUGUUCGACUUUUAAAAUUUUACA
rnacentral:rRNA from 1 species